rnacentral:lncRNA from 1 species
GCUCCAUUCUUCCUAUUUCUUUUCUUCUUGGUCGAAAAACCCUUUUCAUUGUACCUACCCUCAAGUUUCAAUUCCUUCACCAUCUAUGAGAGGACUUGGAUGCAUGGUGAUCAUCUCUUCUCUGAUAAGAUGCCAAUAUUUGGAUUGAGUCAAUGUUACUCAGAAAGUUAAGGUAAGAAACUCACUUUCCAUGAACACAUAGUUUUUCCUCUUUUAAAUCCAAUCACUAAAUCUUAACCCCAUACUUGAAAUUUGUCCUUGGAUGCACGUUUACUCUUUAAAACACGAAUCUUGAGAUGUCUGGAAGGUCAUGGGUGUUGGAGAAAUUAAGUGAAACUAGAGAAUGAAGAAUUUUGGUAUCAAACCCGUAUUCAAGGACAGACCUGCACUAAAAAGGUAACUGUUCUCUCCCUGUAGCUCCGAAUGAGAUACCGUUUAUUUCUAUGGAUAGCUAACUCAAAUACGGUCGUUGUGGUACCGGUUUUAUAAGGACGAGCGAUGAGGUCGAUAGACAUUUUUGAAGUUGGAAGCCAGUAGCAGGAAUUGUGCAGAAAAUCUGGAAUUUUGGUGUUUUAUGUGCUACGGGUUUGCAUCUUGAGCGGCUCAAGCGGAUGAUUAUAUGCGAAACAGUUCGGAAUUGCUAUCAAAUCAGGUGGGUUCCUUUAGGUAAACUCUCACUUAAUAGAGUAGCCUUAUUAGUUUUCCCCAAAAUCCAACUAUGCAUGUUAACUUAAGUUUUAGGGAUUAAUNNNNNNNNNNNNNNNNNNNNNNNNNNNNNNUGAUUUUAAGUUAUGCAGGAAAUCGAGCUUGAGCCGGCUUAAACAGAGCUUGAACCGAUGCGACGUUUCCUUAAAAACUCUAAAAUGCCCAUUAUGGGUGUUAUGAGCUGGUGCAUGCGCAUCAUGGAUCAGUGCAUAACUCUCAGGAGAUGUUUUAUAAAAACUGGAAACGAUUGAAUCGGUGCAUUCACUUGUUGAAUUGACUCAACCAAGGUUUGGGCAGGUUUUA